GCCGUGAUCGUAUAGUGGUUAGUACCUUGCGUUGUGGCCGAUAACCCAGGUUCGAAUCCUGGUCACGGCA
rnacentral:tRNA from 1 species